GCGUCUGGAAAGGCGCGCGAUACAGGGUGACAGCCCCGUACACAAAAAUGCACAUGCUGUGAGCUCGAUGAGUAGGGCGGGACACGUGGUAUCCUGUCUGAAUAUGGGGGGACCAUCCUCCAAGGCUAAAUACUCCUGACUGACCGAUAGUGAACCAGUACCGUGAGGGAAAGGCGAAAAGAACCCCGGCGAGGGGAGUGAAAAAGAACCUGAAACCGUGUACGUACAAGCAGUGGGAGCACGCUUAGGCGUGUGACUGCGUACCUUUUGUAUAAUGGGUCAGCGACUUAUAUUCUGUAGCAAGGUUAACCGAAUAGGGGAGCCGAAGGGAAACCGAGUCUUAACUGGGCGUUAAGUUGCAGGGUAUAGACCCGAAACCCGGUGAUCUAGCCAUGGGCAGGUUGAAGGUUGGGUAACACUAACUGGAGGACCGAACCGACUAAUGUUGAAAAAUUAGCGGAUGACUUGUGGCUGGGGGUGAAAGGCCAAUCAAACCGGGAGAUAGCUGGUUCUCCCCGAAAGCUAUUUAGGUAGCGCCUCGUGAAUUCAUCUCCGGGGGUAGAGCACUGUUUCGGCAAGGGGGUCAUCCCGACUUACCAACCCGAUGCAAACUGCGAAUACCGGAGAAUGUUAUCACGGGAGACACACGGCGGGUGCUAACGUCCGUCGUGAAGAGGGAAACAACCCAGACCGCCAGCUAAGGUCCCAAAGUCAUGGUUAAGUGGGAAACGAUGUGGGAAGGCCCAGACAGCCAGGAUGUUGGCUUAGAAGCAGCCAUCAUUUAAAGAAAGCGUAAUAGCUCACUGGUCGAGUCGGCCUGCGCGGAAGAUGUAACGGGGCUAAACCAUGCACCGAAGCUGCGGCAGCGACGCUGAUGCGUUGUUGGGUAGGGGAGCGUUCUGUAAGCCUGCGAAGGUGUGCUGUGAGGCAUGCUGGAGGUAUCAGAAGUGCGAAUGCUGACAUAAGUAACGAUAAAGCGGGUGAAAAGCCCGCUCGCCGGAAGACCAAGGGUUCCUGUCCAACGUUAAUCGGGGCAGGGUGAGUCGACCCCUAAGGCGAGGCCGAAAGGCGUAGUCGAUGGGAAACAGGUUAAUAUUCCUGUACUUGGUGUUACUGCGAAGGGGGGACGGAGAAGGCUAUGUUGGCCGGGCGACGGUUGUCCCGGUUUAAGCGUGUAGGCUGGUUUUCCAGGCAAAUCCGGAAAAUCAAGGCUGAGGCGUGAUGACGAGGCACUGCGGUGCUGAAGCAACAAAUGCCCUGCUUCCAGGAAAAGCCUCUAAGCAUCAGGUAACAUCAAAUCGUACCCCAAACCGACACAGGUGGUCAGGUAGAGAAUACCAAGGCGCUUGAGAGAACUCGGGUGAAGGAACUAGGCAAAAUGGUGCCGUAACUUCGGGAGAAGGCACGCUGAUAUGUAGGUGAAGUCCCUCGCGGAUGGAGCUGAAAUCAGUCGAAGAUACCAGCUGGCUGCAACUGUUUAUUAAAAACACAGCACUGUGCAAACACGAAAGUGGACGUAUACGGUGUGACGCCUGCCCGGUGCCGGAAGGUUAAUUGAUGGGGUUAGCGCAAGCGAAGCUCUUGAUCGAAGCCCCGGUAAACGGCGGCCGUAACUAUAACGGUCCUAAGGUAGCGAAAUUCCUUGUCGGGUAAGUUCCGACCUGCACGAAUGGCGUAAUGAUGGCCAGGCUGUCUCCACCCGAGACUCAGUGAAAUUGAACUCGCUGUGAAGAUGCAGUGUACCCGCGGCAAGACGGAAAGACCCCGUGAACCUUUACUAUAGCUUGACACUGAACAUUGAGCCUUGAUGUGUAGGAUAGGUGGGAGGCUUUGAAGUGUGGACGCCAGUCUGCAUGGAGCCGACCUUGAAAUACCACCCUUUAAUGUUUGAUGUUCUAACGUUGACCCGUAAUCCGGGUUGCGGACAGUGUCUGGUGGGUAGUUUGACUGGGGCGGUCUCCUCCUAAAGAGUAACGGAGGAG
rnacentral:rRNA from 1 species